AUCACUUCUGGGCCUUUUGGCUAAGAUCAAGUGUAGUAUCUGUUCUAUCAGUUUAAUGCCUGAUACAUCCUCUCUCUGAGGACCUUAUAGUAAAAGUAUUUUGGAAUAGGGAGAUGGUAUAGAAGCUUGCUCCAUCCCCUCCAAGCAUCAUCCUGGUAUUGUAGUACCUCCAGAACAGUGCAUACACA